UCCAGACUCCUACGGGAGGCAGCAGUGAGGAAUAUUGGUCAAUGGGCGCGAGCCUGAACCAGCCAAGUCGCGUGAGGGAUGACGGUCCUAUGGAUUGUAAACCUCUUUUGUCAGGGAGCAAAGGGCGCCACGUGUAGCGUUUUGCGAGUACCUGAAGAAAAAGCAUCGGCUAACUCCGUGCCAGCAGCCGCGGUAAUACGGAGGAUGCGGGCGUUAUCCGGAUUUAUUGGGUUUAAAGGGUGCGCAGGCGGAAUGUCAAGUCAGCGGUUAAAUUUCGGGGCUCAACCCCGUCGUGCCGUUGAAACUGGCGUUCUUGAGUGAGCGAGAAGUAUGCGGAAUGCGUGGUGUAGCGGUGAAAUGCUUAGAUAUCACGAAGAACCCCGAUUGCGAAGGCAGCCUGCCGCAGCGUUACUGACGCUGAAGCUCGAAAGCGCGGGUAUCGAACAGGAUUAGAUACCCGGGUAAAA
rnacentral:rRNA from 1 species